UACAGAGGGUGCAAGCGUUGCUCGGAAUUACUGGGCGUAAAGCGUGUGUAGGCGGUCCAUCAAGUGGGGUGUGAAAUCCCUAGGCUCAACCUAGGAACUGCGCCCCAAACUGAAGGACUUGAGUGUCGGAGAGGAUAGUGGAAUUCCCAGUGUAGAGGUGAAAUUCGUAGAUAUUGGGAGGAACACCAGUGGCGAAGGCGGCUAUCUGGACGAACACUGACGCUGAGACACGAAAGCGUGGGGAGCAAACAGG
rnacentral:rRNA from 1 species